CGAGGGCCCGCUCUACUGAGGCGAGAGGCACGCAGCGAAACACUCGCCUUUUUUAUGUGAAGCGACAAUUUACACAAAAAAAUAAAAUAUUAUAUAUGUAACUAAAAACUCAAUAACAAUGAUAUAUUAAUAAUAUAUCAAUUCACAAUAUGCAGUUAAUUCUACUCUAUAACUGAAAAAGGAGGAAAUUUCAGGUUUAAAGUUUUGAAGAAGUUCUCUGCCUCUGCCUCUACAAAAACAGGGUGCAGUACUGUUGCUCAAUAAAAAACAGAGCAACAAAAAAAGAAGAAGAAGAGAAGACCAGAAGAAGAAAGAAAAAAAACAGAGAAUAAAAAGACUCUCUGUCCUUUUUUUUUGCUGCACUGUUGCUCGACAACAAACAGAGCAAAAAAUUAGAAAGAUGAAGAGAAGAUCAGAAGAAAAGAAAAAUGAAAAAAAAACAGAGCAAUAGACAACUCUGUUCUGCACUGUUGCUCGGCAAAAAACAUAGCAAAAAAUAGAAAGAAGAAGAGAAGAAGAAGGAAAAAGAAGAAAGAAAGAGAGGAGAAAGAAGAAGAGAAGCUUACCUGGGCUGGGUGGACUUGUGUGCUAUGUUGUUUGAAGGUUGAAGAAGAAAGAAACGUGAAAUCACUGCAAGCCCUAAUAUUUUAAGCCCUAAUCUGCGCCUUUUUCGUUCUUUUUUUUUCUUCAAAAAGCGACGCCACAGCUUGCCUCUCGCUACACAAGCAAAGGCGCUCGCCUUUUACAAUUGCAAUGCAACAGAGGCAAAAUAACGCAGGCUGCUCGCAUCGCCUCGCCUCACGCUAUUAGCGCUGAGGCGAGCGCUAUUUAUAACACUGCAAUUACCAUAGCCCUUUGUUAGUUUUUUUGUCAAUAAAAAGAUUUCAUGUCUUUUAUUCAUUACUCUAUCCCUUUAUACAUCGUAUCUGUUAGAACACUGAAGUAUUUACAUGAAUGUACUCCUUUUUUAUAUGAUAUCCUGGAUACUCUUGGAAAAUUAAUGGAAGUGUGGUUACUAG
rnacentral:lncRNA from 1 species